rnacentral:rRNA from 1 species
UACGUAGGGGGCAAGCGUUGUCCGGAUUUACUGGGCGUAAAGAGCGUGUAGGCGGCCAAGCAGGUCCGUUGUGAAAACUGGAGGCUUAACCUUCAGACGUCGACGGAAACCGCGUGGCUAGAGUCCGGAAGAGGAGAGUGGAAUUCCUGGUGUAGCGGUGAAAUGCGCAGAUAUCAGGAAGAACACCAAUGGCGAAGGCAGCUCUCUGGGACGGUACUGACGCUGAGACGCGAAAGCGUGGGGAGCGAACAGG